CAAGUCCGGCCUUAUUGCCACCGCCUGCUGCGCUGCAUGUCAAGGGGCAAAGCGGUGUGUGUUGUGUGUUUUGUGUCCCUGGUGGCCUUUCGGAGAUCAGCGAGGGGAUUUGACUUGGCCGGUUGCAGCCAAAUCCAGCUAUCUACUAGGCUCAGAUGCUGCUGUUGAUGAGGGAAAUCCCGCUGAGGAGGAGCCCAAUUAUCAAGGAAAAGAGGACCGGGAUCUGUUUUCGGGCAGAGAGCAAAGGAGGCCCAAGAGUCCUGAAGGCAGAGCUGGACAGAGAGACCGGCAGAUGGAGGAGAGGGAAACAAAGGCGUGGAGCAUGCUCUCAAAACUGCAGGAAAACACGCCUCAGCAGAGCAGCAGUAGCAGAAGCCGCUCCAACUUUGAGGACUGUGAGUUUGGGAGCCUUUUGCCCCUUAAGAUGCAGAGGGAAAAAAGUUUAGCGCAAACUGCACGAAAACACAGCAUAAGACGAUGUUACAUUAGAGCUCUGUUGUCCUUUUUGUCCCCAUUCGUGAACAAAUCCAGAUAUUCUAUGUGACCUUGCGUUUGGUCUGUAUUCAGACUGCCGUCAACCGGAGAUUUCUGCUGUGGACCAAAGCUUGUAAACAAAACCACAUGACUAAAAAUCUAUUCACUCACUGGUCAGGAAUUAAGAGGGGGGGGGGGGGGGGCAAAGCAACUUAAGGCAGAAAUUAUGGAAG
rnacentral:lncRNA from 1 species